UCUUGCCCAGUUUUUGCUUUACAGUGAUGGUUCUUCGCUGCAGAAAGUUAACUGAUAUUCUGAUAUUUUUUCUUAUCCCAAGCAUUGUUAAAAAUUAAAAAAUGAAUUAAAACAAGUAUAAUGACAAAGAGAAACCAAAAGCGACAAAAAUACAACAGGUUACUUUCUAGGGAAUUUUCGUGAAAAUCCUUUUGCUUUAUAAGCAGAUGAGCACUUGUGUUAUAAUUUACCAAUAAAUUAUAGUAAAUAACACAAAUCCGGGAAAAAAUAUUUAUAAUCACGAAACAAGGAAAUUGUAAAGACCAAUGUCCACAAAUGAUACCUGUUUCUCAAAUCUUCAAAGGAAGGUUUUAACAAAUGGUUAUGGAUAAAACAGGUAAGUCUCGCAACCAAAACAAUUUUGCAAUGGAUCUUAGGUACUAGGGCUGGAAGAUUGCUCGCGUUUGUCUAGUGUAUUGUCAUGGUUAGUGUACCGUAUUACCUAGUGCCAAGUAAGGAAAUCCGAGGCAUCGUUAUAAUCAUAUGCCACACGAUUUUGAGUGCCAAGUGUAAUAGAAAGUAUUGUACUUGUAACUUACAAACUUAUUUAAACAAGUUAGCUUUAAAGCUUUAAGCUGAUGUCUUUCUGUUUUUUUUUAUACGUCGAAAAACAAAUGUUUUUCCUUCAGCUGGUACAUAAAAAAGCAGCUAAUUGCUCUUCUUUUACAAGAUGAUUUUAUUUUUGUAUUUCUCAAAAUCGUGCCAAAUGGCAUGCCACACAUAUUCAAAUUAUUGGAAAGUAUUAUUACUAACUGGCUCUACAAACUAUUUGGAUAGGAUAGUGAUGCAUGUCAUAAGAUCACUUUCAUGCAAUAACAAUACUAAUCCAAUUCGUUCUUUUGUAUUCACUUUGUUCUUGUUCGUUUUUUACCUUCUUUCCUUUCAAUAUAGAUGUGUGAUGAUGAAUGAGAGAUGCAAGAAGCUUAGCUCAAACACAAUCCUGAAAGAGUAAAGUACUCAACAUAAAAUAAUGCAUUUAUACAUUUCGUACCUUUAUCAAUCUAUUAUGCAACAAUAAAAGCAUUUUAUCCAAAAGAAAACAAGUUGUCUUAAUACUUGAAAAGAUCAAUAGAUUUACUUUUAGUUUGGUUUUCUAAAAAGAGAAUCACACUUGAUAAGAAAUUGAUUGCCUCGAAUAACUCAAAACUAA